GACGAACGCUGGCGGCGUGCUUAACACAUGCAAGUCGAACGGAAAGGCCCUGCUUUUGUGGGGUGCUCGAGUGGCGAACGGGUGAGUAACACGUGAGUAACCUGCCCUUGACUUUGGGAUAACUUCAGGAAACUGGGGCUAAUACCGGAUAGGAGCUCCUGCUGCAUGGUGGGGGUUGGAAAGUUUCGGCGGUUGGGGAUGGACUCGCGGCUUAUCAGCUUGUUGGUGGGGUAGUGGCUUACCAAGGCUUUGACGGGUAGCCGGCCUGAGAGGGUGACCGGGCACAUUGGGACUGAGAUACGGCCCAGACUCCUACGGGAGGCAGCAGUGGGGAAUAUUGCACAAUGGGCGGAAGCCUGAUGCAGCAACGCCGCGUGCGGGAUGACGGCCUUCGGGUUGUAAACCGCUUUCGCCUGUGACGAAGCGUGAGUGACGGUAGUGGGUAAAGAAGCACCGGCUAACUACGUG
rnacentral:rRNA from 1 species